UACUUCCAUUCCUAAAUAUCAAUACAAGUAUGGUUAGGUUUUUCAGGAUGUGGUUCUUGUGGAGAUCAGGGAACCGUAGCUCAAUGAAAUUCAACUAUCGCCCACUUCUGCAGCCUCAUCUGGUGCAACAAAAAACAAGCAACAAACAGGAUCUCUUUAGCUAAAAGUCGUUUAUACCAAAUGGAUGGAGGUUCAUGAGAACUGCCAACUGGAUGCUAAAAACAUAUGUAAACUUUGCAAGUGUUCUGCAAACAACUUGAAAUACAACCUAUGGAAAAUGUACAUGAUUACAAAUCAUCUAUCAAUCAGAUUCUAACCACAAGGAAACCUACAAAAAACAUGACCUCAAAUCGGGAAACUGAAACUGUCAGAUGCAUAUCUUUGAAAGCAUAUUGGAGGUCACUAAAGGCGUGAAAGCUGCUGAUUAAGAGAUAGCUGCUUGGCUUUUGGUGCAGCAAACGAUGGCUUUACCAUUACGAAGAUACCAUGGAUUUGUUAAUUUCUCUAAGUUUCCUACUGGGAAGGGAAAAUUUGGUUAUGGUAAGAAGCCUAGACAUACGCCUGAAACUAGAAGAGAGGCCACAAGAAGAGAGCGCUUACGGGUAAAGGCGCUCUCGCAGGCUUACGAUUCUCUGCAACAAGUGAUACCUUUCGACAGCGAUACAAAAAUUACCUACUUAUCCAUACUAAGGGGAGCCGUUGCGUAUAUCAAAGCAUUGGAAAUGAUUCUGGGUGUGAGAGAAGACAUAAUGUUGACAAAAAACAAGAAAAAGGGCAAGGCACCAACAGCGGAAAAAGAAAAUCAGCAAGAUGUCAUCACGGUGAAAGAGGAAGUCUUGUAAAAAUAAGGCAGAAAUGUUGAUCUAGCUUUGAGAGAAGCAAUCGAGAAACAGUCAAGGCUUGUGUCGCACACAACAGGCUAACGGAAAUUCUAUUUUAAUAUUGUCGUUGGGGCCUGGAACGCCCUUGAAUUGUGGUAUUUAAACUUUGGUGGCAAUUCCAAUUGUUUCUGGAUUUACUGGUUUAAUUUUAAUUUACGUUAGUAUGAAAUUAACUGUUAGGGAAAAGAAGUUUAUGUAAAUCUGCACAUUAUUUUCAUACGCAACUUAUCUGUCUUUCUAUAACAUAUUUUUGUUUUGUGCUUAGUUUUGUGAGAAUUUCUUUAUUACGUAGAGAUGAAAAUCACGAUGCCUUAGAUUACUUAAAGUGACUCACUUAAGGGGUAAAAAAGCAAAAAUCCUGCUUAUAAAGUUAUGUUUUCUACUGCUAAGCAUCUAAAAAGACACUUAAAAGUUUAAAACUGCUUGUAAUUUUGCCUGUUGUUAUUUUGAUUCUCACAAGAGAGUUAACAUAAAGCGGUAUUAAGUUCUCAAGCAGGUUCACUGGUUUAAAAUCUUAGAACCAUUGAAAAAGGGACCAAGAUCAAGUUCAUACUUAAUGAUACAGAGGAGUUUUGCAGACAAAGUGGUAGGAAAAUAAAAAAUGGAUUAACAAUGUUUUUGAUUCAAACAAGAACACUACCAAAAAACUCGAAGUUUUUUUCGAAGUUUAUUUCGUUGCAUCAUUGGUAAUAGCAUAGCUAGAUAAAAAACAUUGUACAUCUUAGUUGAUUUCAGCUAAUUUAAGCCCUCGUACUUGCAUCUUGAACCAAAUGAAAAUAAGGAGAUAUUUCUUAUGCUAAUUAUCUGGGAAUGGUAGAUAUGAAGCAAAUGGCACAAAGACUUGUUGGUUACCCUUUGAAAG